rnacentral:rRNA from 1 species
ACGCGAAGAACCUUACCUGGGUUUGACAUGCACCAGACAUCCCUAGAGAUAGGGUUUCCCUUGUGGUUGGUGUGCAGGUGGUGCAUGGCUGUCGUCAGCUCGUGUCGUGAGAUGUUGGGUUAAGUCCCGCAACGGGCGCAACCCCCGCUCCUUGUUGCUACCAUUUAGUGGUGAGCACUCAAGGGAGACUGCCGGUGUCAACUCGGAGGAAGGUGGGGAUGGCGUCAAGUCCUCAUGGCCCUUACGGGUUGGGCUACACACGUGCUACAAUGGCGCAUACAGAGGGCAGCGAUCCCGCAAGGGGGAGCGAAUCCCAAAAAGCCUGUCUCAGUUCGGAUCGGGGUCUGCAACUCGACCCCGUGAAGUUGGAGUCGCUAGUAAUCGCGGAUCAG